rnacentral:rRNA from 1 species
UACGUAGGUGGCAAGCGUUGUCCGGAUCUACUGGGUGUAAAGGGCGUGUAGCCGGGUUGACAAGUCAGAUGUGAAAUCCUGCGGCUUAACCGCAGAACUGCAUUUGAAACUGUUGAUCUUGAGUACUGGAGGGGCAGACGGAAUUCCUAGUGUAGCGGUGAAAUGCGUAGAUAUUAGGAGGAACACCAGUGGCGAAGGCGGUCUGCUGGACAGCAACUGACGGUGAGGCGCGAAAGCGUGGGGAGCAAACAGG